GGGGCAUGGGGCUGCCAGGGGUGGCCAUCUGGUUUGCACCCAGAACGACAGCUCGGUUCGAGUCCGAGAUGCUCCACCA
rnacentral:tRNA from 1 species